AAAAUACGCGGGCACCUACCGAUACGAUAUUUAUUUGUCUUGUUCACAUGCAUGAGAUACGAGAUUUAUUUAAUUGUCAUGUUCAUAUCUGCACCGAGAUACGGAAAAUUACCUGUAGGCUUUCAACCAAUAAGAAUUAUUGGAUCCGGCUUACGCAGAGUAUCCAGAAUUAUUUAGACCUCGGUCAAUGUUGUCUGCCUCAGCCUUCGGCGGCUUCGGCAGAUAGCAUUGACCUCGGUCUGAAUAAUUCUGGGUAUCCUGCUCAACCUCAUCCAAUAAUUCAGGUUAAUAAUUUUCACUACAAAUUUCCAUCUUCCAAAAAUCCUUCAAUAUUUAGUUCUAUCGAGUGAGAGAUACACAAAAUCCUGAUGUUAAAAAUAUAGCCGAAAGUAGCCAUUACAGUAGGACAAGUUGAUAACGUUGCUUACGCGCGAAGUAUGUGCAGAAGUAUCAAGCUGCUCCAGUAGCUUUACCUAAUAUUUUAAACUUUUAAGACGUUUUAUGCAGAAAUGGAAACGCCCUCACUGUACAUCGUCGACGAAAUUCAGUUCCUCGGUAUAAAAUGUUUUUAAAGAAUCGAAACAAGACAACAAUAAAUCCUAAAAAUAAGGCCAGUUAAUUAAAAAAAUACUUUUGUUUUUUAUUCGCUGCCCUCCCCUAAAAAAUUGACUCCCGGAAUUUUUUUUUAAUUAAUCGGUAUACCGUGGGGCUGUCGCGUGGAAUGGUCUGCCCUCUCAACUUUUGCGAUUGGUAGACGAACCUCGAUCUAUUUCUUCUUUUCGUAGCUUGAUUAAUAAUUAUUAUAAAACUUUGUAAUAGCUUGUAUAUGUUGUAAUAUUUUAACUACUUAUAAAUGUUGUAAUUCUUUUUAAACACACGGCCCUUUGAAAAUCACACAAGCGAAAGGCUACCGUGUUUAAA